UGCAGAUCCUGGUGAACAGCAUCACCUAAACUAGCCACUCCCUGACCUACAACUUGCUUGCCUUGCUCCUAAAGACAAGAAGCUAAUCACUGGUUCAAGUUUUAUUGCUGUGAAACUGGUGUCUUCCAGCCUCAAGAUCUGGAUCACAGGUGUGCUGUUAAGUCUGAAAACUUAUCUGAACAGAGUGCAUGUGAGAACUAGUGGGCCUUGUGAACCUCUGGAGAAAGGAGACCAGAUGCAGAAACACACCAAAACCUCAGGUGGGAAUGAGCAAAUCAGACAAAGAGGGAUUGCCCCUGAACCUGCCAUGAAACAAUAGGCUUGCUGAAACUCCAGAGCCGAAGAAUGAUGCAGUGGGCACUUUGUUCUGCUUUGUAAAGCCAGGCUUGAAAAUUGACCUGAGGUGCUUAUCCUGUACUAUCAGGGCCCCAAAGAUGGGAGCUGCUUCCCACUGGACCAUGGAAAGAAGUUUUAAACCUACAGUGCCUGCCCCCUGGGUACCGAUUCCACUCUAUGCUACCUCUAACAGCUGGAGCUUGGACUCUUUGUAGAGCCUUUUCCAGUUUGAAUGAAACAUUUCUAUUGCAAAAAAAAAGUUAAUAGUAUGAUAACUCA